UGUCGACGAUGACAAAUCCAAAGGCUUGUUUCUCAAAACAUUCGCAGUGGCCGACUAAGAUCUUCGCCUUCGCUGGGCUUGAGAGAUUGUGCUGCUUCUUUCCUUCCUUGGAUGUCUGAGAUU